AAACACCUGUGUUAACAAACACUCAUUGCUUAGUAUUUUGUUUGCUUAGUUAAAGCUGCUACAUCACUGAGUGCUACAUCAGAAUUGGAUUGUAAUCCUUACUUGAACUUUGUGACUAGGAAUUGCUCCAACUAGAAAAUUCAACUUCGGAGACUUGCUACUAAGUUGCUGUUGAUUUCCAACUACUGCUUAUAACAUCCUGAAAGCUACAAACUGCAACUUCAAAAACGUUUAUUUGUAUCAAGCUGAUUCUGCAUAUCCUCUUAAAAAAUGGAUUUGGACACCAUUGAAAGAGAACCAGGUUGUUGGGCUUGCUGAAUUAAGAUAUAAUGAAGCACAUAUCCGAACACGGGCUAUAAUAGAACGACUGUUUGGUGUUCUAAAAAUGCGCUUUCGCUGCCUGGACAGA